CAUUACAUUUUAGUUUAUGUGACAGGUCACUUUUCUGGGCGGCCAUAUAAACCUCAAGCAGAAAGCAGUGGGGUGCAGCAGAGGCCAACGGCUCUGUCAUGCAACGGCCUGAGAUUUAUGGAUCUGAUGUAUCUGAAGACACAUACUACAGGAAGGGUGCCUAUACCUCCAAUGGAAACAGAAAAAGCAGAAAGCUGAGAUCAUGGCUUCCCAGGGCUUGAAAGGGCUAUUGGCAGCCAAGGGCAUUUGGCUCGACCCAGGCUUGACAGAAAAGGAAGAUGCACUGGAUGCUACAAAGGGAAUGAAAUGAAAGCAUCAAAACAUAUAAUUUACCACAUGAAAGACGGUACUUAGAGUUUGCCAGAACUACUAACUCUACCAGCAGAUGGAAAGAUCAGUCUUGUUACAGGCAGAAGCCUACUGGACACACAGCACAAAAAGAUGGCUUGUAAACAAAUGAGAUGGAUUUUUGUCUUUUUUUUUUUUUUUUAAGUAACCUCUACACCCAACGUGGGACUCGAACUCAUGACCCUGAGAUCAAGAGUUGCAUGUUCUACUGACUGAGCCAGCCAGGCGCCUCAAGAAAUGAGAUGGGUUUUCUUAUGGCUUGGAAAAUGACUCUACAGGAGGCAUAAACUCUGAAAUGCAUAUUUGAAACCACUCUUAAUGCUUUACACUCCUACUUCAUAGAAUAAAUCCAUGAGGUAGUUUUCCUGGAGCAACUUUUUGAAAAGAUGAAUACAGAAGGAUAAAAGGAAGGGUAGACUUCACAGACUGUUUUCAGAACAUCAGCUGUUCUCUCAAAGGCACGAACUCUGUUUUUCUUUCUCUGUGCCCACAAUAUCUAGAAUAUAUCUUAAACACAGUAGGCGCUUGCCUCUUCCAUUGCUUUUCAGAAAUAAGUGAAGAACUAAGCUGUAAAUGAGUAAGAGACACUGAUUAGAUGUCUGUUGCUGUAUAUGGCAGGCAAACUAUCCCUGACAGAUGGCUGUCUUCUCUGGUUACUAGUGUAAGAACUGGCUCAUGGGGUGGAGCUAAAAGGCACAGGGCAGUAAAUCUAAUGAAAACCAGGCCCACAUUUCCAUCCCUAUUAUGUAUGCAAGGGAAAUGUUGAGUGUUACUUGUACUUUAUCAUCUUAGCAAUGGGAUUUAGGGUAAGAAUGAUGAAGAUCAGUGGUCAAAACAGGAAGAGGCUCAAAAGGAGCUGGGAGGGGAAGAAUAAUGUAGAUAUAAAUAAAAAAAAAAUUCUGUAUCAAAUGACAGCAGGGGUUAUCUAUCUUUCUUACCAACGUGUUCUCCUAACGGGGUUUGUUCCUAAGUAAUCUACCCUAAAUAGAAUUUA